rnacentral:rRNA from 1 species
AGUGAACGCUGGCGGUAGGCCUAACACAUGCAAGUCGAACGGCAGCACAGUAAGAGCUUGCUCUUACGGGUGGCGAGUGGCGGACGGGUGAGGAAUACAUCGGAAUCUACUUUUUCGUGGGGGAUAACGUAGGGAAACUUACGCUAAUACCGCAUACGACCUACGGGUGAAAGCAGGGGAUCUUCGGACCUUGCGCGAUUGAAUGAGCCGAUGUCGGAUUAGCUAGUUGGCGGGGUAAAGGCCCACCAAGGCGACGAUCCGUAGCUGGUCUGAGAGGAUGAUCAGCCACACUGGAACUGAGACACGGUCCAGACUCCUGCGGGAGGCAGCAGUGGGGAAUAUUGGACAAUGGGCGCAAGCCUGAUCCAGCCAUACCGCGUGGGUGAAGAAGGCCUUCGGGUUGUAAAGACCUUUUGUUGGGAAAGAAAAGCAGCAGGUUAAUACCCCGCUGUUCUGACGGUACCCAAAGAAUAAGCACCGGCUAACUUCGUG